rnacentral:rRNA from 1 species
UACGUAGGGUGCAAGCGUUAAUCGGAAUUACUGGGCGUAAAGCGUGCGCAGGCGGUUUUGUAAGACAGGUGUGAAAUCCCCGGGCUUAACCUGGGAACUGCAUUUGUGACUGCAAGGCUGGAGUGCGGCAGAGGGGGAUGGAAUUCCACGUGUAGCAGUGAAAUGCGUAGAGAUGUGGAGGAACACCGAUGGCGAAGGCAGCCCCCUGGGUUAACACUGACGCUCAGGCACGAAAGCGUGGGGAGCAAACAGG